rnacentral:rRNA from 1 species
GACGAACGCUGGCGGCGUGCUUAACACAUGCAAGUCGACCGGUAGGGCCCUUUGGGGGUUCCCCGACGGGCGACGGGUGGAGUACCAGUGGGGAAUUCUUCCCUCCCUUCGGGGUCACCCCCGGUAACGGGGGGCAAUUCCCGAUAACACCCCGUCUUCCCUUCGGGUGCGGGCGGAAGGUCUUUUGGCUAAGGGUGGGCUCGCGGGCCUUUAGCCUGUUGGCGGGGUAACGGGCUACCCAGGCCUCGACGGGUAGCCCGGCUGAGAGGGUGAACGGCCACACUGGGACUGAGACACGGCCCAGACGCCUACGGGAGGCAGCAGUGGGGAAUAGUGGACAAUGGGCGAAAGCCUGAUCCAGCAACGCCGCGUGAGGGAUGACGGCCUUCGGGUUGUAAACCGCUUUCAGUACCGACGAAGCGCCCGGUCGGGUGGUGACGGUAGGUACAGAAGAAGGACCGGCCAACUACGUG